GGGUUAGUAGGUUGGUCAUGCCUCUGGUAUGUACUGGUCUCACUGAUUCCUCCUUCCUUAUGAACCGUAAUGCCAUUAAUUUGGUGUUGCGGGGAAUUUGGACUGUUACUUUGAAAAAAUUAGAGUGUUUAAAGCGGGCUAUUGCUUGAAUAGAUUAGCAUGGAAUAAUGAAAUAGGACGUUCGAUCUUAUUUUGUUGGUUUCUAGGAUUGACGUAAUGAUUAAUAGGGAUAGUUGGG
rnacentral:rRNA from 1 species